rnacentral:rRNA from 1 species
UACGUAGGGUGCAAGCGUUAAUCGGAAUUACUGGGCGUAAAGCGUGCGCAGGCGGUUUUGUAAGUUUGUCGUGAAAGCCCCGGGCUCAACCUGGGAAUUGCGAUGAAGACUGCAAGGCUUGAAUCUGGCAGAGGGGGGUAGAAUUCCACGUGUAGCAGUGAAAUGCGUAGAGAUGUGGAGGAACACCGAUGGCGAAGGCAGCUCCCUGGGUCAAGAUUGACGCUCAUGCACGAAAGCGUGGGGAGCAAACAGG